rnacentral:rRNA from 1 species
CCUGGCUCAGGAUGAACGCUGGCGGCGUGCCUAACACAUGCAAGUCGAGCGAGAAGAUGAGUGCUUGCACUCUGAUUCUAGCGGCGGACGGGUGAGUAACGCGUGGGCAACCUGCCCUGUGCAGGGGGAUAACACAUCGAAAGAUGUGCUAAUACCCCAUAAGACUACAGCAUCACAUGAUGAAGUAGUCAAAACUCUGGUGGCACAGGAUGGGCCCGCGUCUGAUUAGCUAGUUGGUAGGGUAACGGCCUACCAAGGCGACGAUCAGUAGCCGACCUGAGAGGGUGAUCGGCCACACUGGAACUGAGACACGGUCCAGACUCCUACGGGAGGCAGCAGUGGGGAAUAUUGCACAAUGGGGGAAACCCUGAUGCAGCAACGCCGCGUGAGCGAAGAAGGCCUUCGGGUCGUAAAGCUCUGUCCUAAGGGAAGAAUAAUGACGGUACCUUAGGAGGAAGCCCCGGCUAACUACGUGCCAGCAGCCGCGGUAAUACGUAGGGGGCAAGCGUUAUCCGGAAUCACUGGGCGUAAAGGGUGCGUAGGCGGCCGAUCAAGCCAGGGGUGAAAGGCUACGGCUCAACCGUAGUAAGCCUUUGGAACUGAUUGGCUUGAGUGCAGGAGAGGAGAGUGGAAUUCCUAGUGUAGCGGUGAAAUGCGUAGAUAUUAGGAGGAACACCAGUGGCGAAGGCGACUCUCUGGACUGUAACUGACGCUGAGGCACGAAAGCGUGGGGAGCAAACAGGAUUAGAUACCCUGGUAGUCCACGCCGUAAACGAUGAGUGCUAGGUGUCGGCGGUUCACACCGUCGGUGCCGGAGUUAACGCAUUAAGCACUCCGCCUGGGGAGUACGGUCGCAAGACUGAAACUCAAAGACAUUGACGGGGACCCGCACAAGCAGCGGAGCAUGUGGUUUACUUCGAAGCAACGCGAAGAACCUUACCACGACUUGACAUCCCUGUGAUACUUCCUUAACCGGAACGUUCCUUCGGGACACCCGAGACAGGUGGUGCAUGGUUGUCGGUCAGCUCGUGUCGUGAGAUGUUGGGUUAAGUCCCGGAACGAAGCCAAGCCCUAAUUUUAGUUGGCA